rnacentral:misc_RNA from 1 species
GAUGAAGAACGUAGCGAAAUGCGAUACUUGGUGUGAAUUGCAGAAUCCCGUGAACCAUCGAGUCUUUGAACGCAAGUUGCGCCUCAAGCCAUUAGGUUGAGGGCACGUCUGCCUGGGCGUCACAUAUCGUUGCCUGAUGCCAGUCUCCUCGUGAUGGGUGACUGUGCAGGGCGAAUGAUGGCUUCCCGUGAGCAUUGUUGCCUCAUGGUUGGUUGAAAAUUGAGUCCUUGGUAGGGAGCGCCGUGAUAGAUGGUGGUUGAGUGACGAACGAGACCCAAUCAUGUGAGACCCCUACCGAAUUUGGCCUUCAUGACCCACAUGCGUCUUUGGAACGCUCAUGACGAGACCUCAGGUCAGGCGGGGCUACCCGCUGAGUUUAAGCAUAUCAAUAAGCGGAGGA